rnacentral:tRNA from 1 species
UGGAGCAUAGCCAAGUGGUAAGGCAUCGGUUUUUGGUACCGACAUGCGGAGGUUCGAUCCCUCCUGCUCCAA